rnacentral:rRNA from 1 species
GUGAGGAAUUUUCCGCAAUGGGCGAAAGCCUGACGGAGCAAUGCCGCGUGAAGGAUGAAGGCCUAUGGGUUGUAAACUUCUUUUCUCAGAAAAGAAUUAUGACGGUAUCUGAGGAAUAAGCAUCGGCUAACUCUGUGCCAGCAGCCGCGGUAAGACAGAGGAUGCAAGCGUUAUCCGGAAUGAUUGGGCGUAAAGCGUCUGUAGGUUGUUUAAAAAGUAUUCUGUCAAAGAUUAGGGCUUAACCCUAGAUAGGCAGAAUAAACUUUUAAGCUAGAGUUUGGUAGAGGCAGAGGGAAUUCCCGGGGGAGCGGUGAAAUGCGUAGAUAUCGGGAGGAACACCAAAGGCGAAGGCACUCUGCUGGGCCAAUACUAACACAGAGAGACGAAAGCGAGGGGAGCAAAUGGGAUUAGAAACCCGAGUAGUCC